AGGGCGCAGGGCGAAUGCCUUGGCACUGGGAGCCGAUGAAAGACGUGAUAAGCUGCGAUAAGCUUCGGGGAGCUGCAAAUAAGCAUUGAUCCGGAGAUUUCUGAAUGAGGAAACUCACCUGGGUUCAUACUCAGGUACGUUACACUGAAAUUCAAAAUAGGUGUAUCGAGGGAACCGCCUGAACUGAAACAUCUAAGUAGGGCGAGGAAGAGACAUCAAACGAGAUUCCGUAAGUAGUGGCGAGCGAACGCGGAAGAGGGCAAACCGAGAGUAGAAAUACUUUCGGGGUACGGACUGCUUUUAGGACUUAAUCUGUUAACCGAACGGCAUGGGAAGGCCGGUCAGAGAGUGUGAGAACCACGUAGGUGAAAACGGAGAGAGCUGCGCAGAUUCCAGAGUACGGCCAGACACGUGAAACCUGGUCGGAAGAUGGGGGGACCACCCUCCAACCCUAAAUACUACCCAGUGACCGAUAGCGUAUAGUACUGUGAAGGAAAGGUGAAAAGCACCCCGGGAGGGGAGUGAAAAAGAACCUGAAACCCUGUGCCUACAAGCACCUAGAGCACGUCAAAGUGUGAUAGGGUACUUUUUGUAGAACGGUCCGGCGAGCGAUUGUAUGCAGCAAGGUUAAGGACUUAAGGUCUGGAGCCGAAGCGAAAGCGAGUUUGAAAAGGGCGUUAAGUUGCAUAUAAUGGGCCCGAAACCGGGUGACCUACCCAUGGUCAGGUUGAAGUGGAAGUAAAAUUCCAUGGAGGACCGAACCGACCUCCGUUGAAAAGGCGGCGGAUGAACUGUGGGUAGCGGAGAAAUUCCAAUCGAACCCGGAGAUAGCUGGUUCUCCCCGAAAUAGUUUUAGGACUAGCCUCAAGUUAGAUACCUGGAGGUAAAGCACUGAAUAGCCUAGCGGCCGAGAGGUUAGCGAAGCUUAUCAAACUCAGAAUGCCAGAGUAUUGAUGCUUGGGAGUCAGACAGUGUCAGAUAAAUGUCAUUGUCAAAAGGGAAACAGCCCAGAUCUACAGCUAAGGUCCCAAAGUCAGGUUAAGUGGAAAACGAUGUGAAGAUACGCAGACAACCAGGAUGUUGGCUCAGAAGCAGCCACUCAUUCAAAGAGUGCGUAAUAGCUCACUGGUCGAGCGUCUUUGCGCGGAGAAUUUAACGGGGCUAAACCUGACACCGAAGCUUAGGCAAUACAGCAAUGUAUUGGGUAGGGGAGCGUUGUAUACGCGGAGAAACAGUAGCGUAAGCGGCUGUGGAGUGUAUAGAAGUGAGAAUGCCGGAAUGAGUAGCGCGAAUGCAGUGAGAAUCUGCAUGGCCGAAAGCCUCAGGUUUCUGGAGGAAGGUUCGUCCGCUCCAGGUUAGUCGGGAGCUAAGGUGAGGCCUAACGGCGUAGCCGAUGCACAGACGGUAGAGAUUCCGUCACCACCAAAAGAGUUAAGCACAGGGACACAUAUGAAGUCUCAGAGCCGGGUGUUGGUUCCGGUAGAGAUCGAGGGAAAUUAGUACCGAAGUCUGAGAUGGAAGAUGGCGAGAAAAGCUGUGUGUAUUUCUGAGGUGCCCGUACCGCAAACCGACACAGGUAGGUAGGAAGAAGAUUCUAAGGCCAACGGGAGAAGGGUUGUUAAGGAACUCGGCAAAUUGACCCCGUAACUUCGGGAGAAGGGGUGCUCCAGAGAUGGAGCCGCAGAGAAUCGGCCCAAGCAACUGUUUACCAAAAACACAGGUUUGUGCUAAAUCGAAAGAUGACGUAUACGAGCUGACGCCUGCCCGGUGCUGGAAGGUUAAGAGGAGAUGUGCAAGCAUUGAAUCGAAGCCCCAGUGAACGGCGGCCGUAACUAUAACGGUCCUAAGGUAGCGAAAUUCCUUGUCAGGUAAGUUCUGACCCGCAUGAAAGGCGUAAUGAUUUGGGCACUGUCUCAACAGCCCGCCCGGCGAAAUUGUAGUACCGGUGAAGAUGCCGGUUACCCGCGACAAGACGGAAAGACCCCAUGGAGCUUUACUGUAGCCUAAUAUUGGGUUUCGAUGUUGCAUGCACAGGAUAGAUGGGACACUGGGAAGCAGGUGCUUUGGCGCUUGUGGAGUGGCCGUUGGGAUACCAUCCUUGCGAUAUUGGAAUUCUAACCUGCGCCUUUGAAUCAAGGCGGGGGACAUUGUUAGGUGGGCAGUUUGACUGGGGCGGUCGCCUCCUAAAGAGUAACGGAGGCGUUCAAAGGUUCGCUCAGCUUGAACGGAAAUCAAGCAAAAGAGUGCAAACGCAGAAGCGAGCCUAACUGCGAGACUGACGGGUCGAGCAGUAACGAAAGUUGGAGUUAGUGAUCCGGUGGUAUGUGAGUGGAAAUGCCAUCGCUCAACGGAUAAAAGUUACCCUGGGGAUAACAGGCUGAUCUCCCCCAAGAGUCCACAUCGACGGGGAGGUUUGGCACCUCGAUGUCGGCUCAUCGCAUCCUGGGGCUGUAUUCGGUCCCAAGGGUUUGGCUGUUCGCCAAUUAAAGCGGCACGCGAGCUGGGUUCAGAACGUCGUGAG
rnacentral:rRNA from 1 species